AUGGCGGCCUCCGAGGUUCAGCUUGGCACGCCGAUUUCUGGCAUGGGAGAUGGACGGGACAUUCUAGAUCAUCAAACUGUAGAGGAAGAAGGCAUUGUAAUUGGAGGGGGAACUGACAGUGACUAUCAAGAGCUGCUGGAUAGAGUGUUCAACAUUAUCGCUGGAAACAAUCCAGAUCUCGCCGUGAACAGAGGAAAAGUGGUUAUGUGCCCUCCUAAGAUUCUAAGGGAGGGCACGAGGAAGACAGUAUUCGUGAACUUUAUGGAGUCGUGUAAAACGUUGCGUAGGGACCCUAAUCACGUGAUGGAUUUUUUCCUCUCUGAGAUGGCAACAAGCGGUUCACUUGAUGGGCAGCACAGGCUGGUGAUGAAAGGGAGAUUUGCUCCGAAAUCCUUUGAAUCGAUCCUCAGGAGAUACAUCAAUGCGUAUGUCAUCUGUAAUGGAUGCAAGGGCCAUGAUACCACUAUAACCAAGGAAAACCGUCUCUUCUUCCUUCGCUGCGAGCAGUGUGGGUCUUCAAGGUCCGUCGAUCGAAUCAAGGCUGGAUUUGUCGCACAUGUUGGUCGUCGCAAUGCCUGA
rnacentral:rRNA from 1 species